rnacentral:rRNA from 1 species
UGGGGAAUAUUGGACAAUGGGCGAAAGCCUGAUCCAGCCAUGCCGCGUGUGUGAAGAAGGUCUUCGGAUUGUAAAGCACUUUAAGUUGGGAGGAAGGGCAUUAACCUAAUACGUUAGUGUUUUGACGUUACCGACAGAAUAAGCACCGGCUAACUCUGUGCCAGCAGCCGCGGUAAUACAGAGGGUGCAAGCGUUAAUCGGAAUUACUGGGCGUAAAGCGCGCGUAGGUGGUUUGUUAAGUUGGAUGUGAAAGCCCCGGGCUCAACCUGGGAACUGCAUCCAAAACUGGCAAGCUAGAGUACGGUAGAGGGUGGUGGAAUUUCCUGUGUAGCGGUGAAAUGCGUAGAUAUAGGAAGGAGCACCAGUGGCGAAGGCGACCACCUGGACUGAUACUGACACUGAGGUGCGAAAGCGUGGGGAGCAAACA